rnacentral:rRNA from 1 species
AUUGAACGCUGGCGGCAGGCCUAACACAUGCAAGUCGAACGAGUGGCGGACGGGUGAGUAAUGUCUGGGAAACUGCCUGAUGGAGGGGGAUAACUACUGGAAACGGUAGCUAAUACCGCAUACCAUCGGAUGUGCCCAGAUGGGAUUAGCUCGUAGGUGGGGUAAAGGCUAACCUAGGCGACGAUCCCUCGCUGGUCUGAGAGGAUGACCAGCAACACUGGAACUGAGACAAGGUCCAGAAUCCUACGGGAGGCAGCAGUGGGGCAUAUUGCACAACGGGCGCAAGCCUGAUGCAGCCAGGCCGCGUGUAUGAAGAAGGCAUUCGGGUAGUAAAGUACUUUCAGCGGGGAGGCGUUACCCGGAGAAGAAGCACCGGCUAAAUCCGUGCCAGCAGCCGCGGUAAUAC